rnacentral:pre_miRNA from 1 species
AAUGUGAUUACUGGGUCACAUGGUAAGAGUACGUUCAGUUGUAUGUUUUUUAAAGAAACUGCCAAACUAUUUUCCAGAGGAGCUGUACCAUUUUAAAUUCCCACCAGCAAU